GAUGAACGCUAGCGGCAGGCCUAACACAUGCAAGUCGAGCGGGAUUAGUUAGUAGCUUGCUAUUAACUAUGAGAGCGGCGCACGGGUGCGUAACGCGUAUGCAACCUACCUUAUACUGGGGUAUAGCCCGGAGAAAUUCGGAUUAAUCCCCCAUAGCAUUAUCGAUUCGCAUGUUUUGAUAAUUAAAGGUUACGGUAUAAGAUGGGCAUGCGUCCUAUUAGAUAGAUGGUGAGGUAACGGCUCACCAUGGCGACGAUAGGUAGGGGGCCUGAGAGGGUGGUCCCCCACACUGGUACUGAGACACGGACCAGACUCCUACGGGAGGCAGCAGUGAGGAAUAUUGGUCAAUGGGCGAAAGCCUGAACCAGCCAUGCCGCGUGCAGGAAGACGGUCCUAUGGAUUGUAAACUGCUUUUAUUUGGGAAUAAACUCUGAUACGUGUAUCAGCCUGAAGGUACCAAAUGAAUAAGCACCGGCUAACUCCGUGCCAGCAGCCGCAGUAAAAC
rnacentral:rRNA from 1 species